rnacentral:rRNA from 1 species
UACGAAGGGGGCUAGCGUUGCUCGGAAUCACUGGGCGUAAAGGGUGCGUAGGCGGGUUUUUAAGUCAGAGGUGAAAUCCUGGAGCUCAACUCCAGAACUGCCUUUGAUACUGGGAAUCUUGAGUAUGGAAGAGGUGAGUGGAACUGCGAGUGUAGAGGUGAAAUUCGUAGAUAUCGCAAGAACACCAGUGGCGAAGGCGGCUCACUGGUCCAUAACUGACGCUGAGGCACGAAAGCGUGGGGA